GACGAACGCUGGCGGCGUGCUUAACACAUGCAAGUCGAACGAAGUGGCGAACGGGUGAGUAACGCGUAAUCAACCUGCCCUUCAGAGGGGGACAACAGUUGGAAACGACUGCUAAUACCGCAUACUGAAGGAGGGGAUUGUGUGUGAUUAGGUAGUUGGGGGGGUAAUGGCCUACCAAGCCGACGAUCUCUAGCUGGGCUGAGAGGAGGACCAGCCACACCGGGACUGAGACACGGCCCGGACUCCUACGGGAGGCAGCAGGGGGGAAUAUUGCGCAAUGGGGGCAACCCUGACGCAGCCAUGCCGCGUGAAUGAAGAAGGCCUUCGGGUUGUAAAGGACUUUUGUCAGGGAAGCGGUACCUGAAGAAUAAGCACCGGCUAACUACGUGCCAGCAGCCGCGGUAAUUC
rnacentral:rRNA from 1 species